GUAAAGGUGUCUUUAGACACCACCUUUGUUCUUUGAAAUUUUUUC
rfam:Picea glauca, whole genome shotgun sequence.